rnacentral:rRNA from 1 species
GGCCAGGCUGUCUCCACCCGAGACUCAGUGAAAUUGAACUCGCUGUGAAGAUGCAGUGUACCCGCGGCAAGACGGAAAGACCCCGUGAACCUUUACUAUAGCUUGACACUGAACAUUGAGCCUUGAUGUGUAGGAUAGGUGGGAGGCUUUGAAGUGUGGACGCCAGUCUGCAUGGAGCCGACCUUGAAAUACCACCCUUUAAUGUUUGAUGUUCUAACGUUGACCCGUAAUCCGGGUUGCGGACAGUGUCUGGUGGGUAGUUUGACUGGGGCGGUCUCCUCCUAAAGAGUAACGGAGGAGCACGAAGGUUGGCUAAUCCUGGUCGGACAUCAGGAGGUUAGUGCAAUGGCAUAAGCCAGCUUGACUGCGAGCGUGACGGCGCGAGCAGGUGCGAAAGCAGGUCAUAGUGAUCCGGUGGUUCUGAAUGGAAGGGCCAUCGCUCAACGGAUAAAAGGUACUCCGGGGAUAACAGGCUGAUACCGCCCAAGAGUUCAUAUCGACGGCGGUGUUUGGCACCUCGAUGUCGGCUCAUCACAUCCUGGGGCUGAAGUAGGUCCCAAGGGUAUGGCUGUUCGCCAUUUAAAGUGGUACGCGAGCUGGGUUUAGAACGUCGUGAGACAGUUCGGUCCCUAUCUGCCGUGGGCGCUGGAGAACUGAGGGGGGCUGCUCCUAGUACGAGAGGACCGGAGUGGAC